GGCGGCGCGCCUAACACAUGCAAGUCGAACGACCUUUAGAGAGCUUGCUUUCUCAAGCGAGUGGCGAACGGGUGAGUAACGCGUGAGGAACCUGCCUCAAAGAGGGGGACAACAGUUGGAAACGACUGCUAAUACCGCAUAAGCCCACGACCCGGCAUCGGGAAGAGGGAAAAGGAGCAAUCCGCUUUGAGAUGGCCUCGCGUCCGAUUAGCUAGUUGGUGAGGUAACGGCCCACCAAGGCGACGAUCGGUAGCCGGACUGAGAGGUUGAACGGCCACAUUGGGACUGAGACACGGCCCAGACUCCUACGGGAGGCAGCAGUGGGGAAUAUUGCACAAUGGGGGGAACCCUGAUGCAGCGACGCCGCGUGGAGGAAGAAGGUCUUCGGAUUGUAAACUCCUGUUGUUGAGGAAGAUAAUGACGGUACUCAACAAGGAAGUGACGGCUAACUACGUGCCAGCAGCCGCGGUAAAACGUAGGUCACAAGCGUUGUCCGGAAUUACUGGGUGUAAAGGGAGCGCAGGCGGGAAGACAAGUUGGAAGUGAAAUCCAUGGGCUCAACCCAUGAACUGCUUUCAAAACUGUUUUUCUUGAGUAGUGCAGAGGUAGGCGGAAUUCCCGGUGUAGCGGUGGAAUGCGUAGAUAUCGGGAGGAACACCAGUGGCGAAGGCGGCCUACUGGGCACCAACUGACGCUGAGGCUCGAAAGUGUGGGUAGCAAACAGGAUUAGAUACCCUGGUAGUCCACACCGUAAACGAUGAUUACUAGGUGUUGGAGGAUUGACCCCUUCAGUGCCGCAGUUAACACAAUAAGUAAUCCACCUGGGGAGUACGACCGCAAGGUUGCAA
rnacentral:rRNA from 1 species